rnacentral:tRNA from 1 species
CGGGGCGUAGCUCAGCCCGGAUAGAGUGCUCGGUUCGGGUCCGAGAGGCCGGCGGUUCAAAUCCGCCCGCCCCGA